rnacentral:rRNA from 1 species
UUCCGGUUGAUCCCGCCGGACCCGACUGCUAUUUGGGUGAGGAUAAACCAUGCGAGUUGUAUGGGAUACCUAAAUUUCCCAUAGCAAACUGCUUAGUAACACAUGAUCAACUUGCCCUAUGGAGAAAUAUAACCUCGGGAAACUGAGGAUAAUGCUUCAUAGUUGAAUAGGCUUGGAAAAGUUUUUCGAUGAAAGGGAUAAGAAAAAUGGUUCUUAUCUGCCAUAGGAUAGGAUCGUGCUCGAUUAUGGUUGUUGGUGAGGUAACGGCUCACCAAGCCGAUAAUCGAUAGGGGCCGUGAGAGCGGGAGCCCCAAGAUGGGUACUGAGACAGCGACCCAGGCCUUACGAGGCGCAGCAGGUACGAAACCUCCGCAAUACACGAAAGUGUGACGGGGUUACCCAAAGUGUUCUUAUAGAACUGUGGCAGGUGAGUAAUGUCCCCUGCUAGAAAGGAGAGGGCAAGGCUGGUGCCAGCCGCCGCGGUAAAACCAGCUCUUCAAGUGGUCGGGAUAAUUAUUGGGCUUAAAGUGUCCGUAGCCGGUUUAGUAAGUUCCUGGUAAAAUCAGGUAGCUUAACUAUCUGCAUGCUAGGAAUACUGCUAUACUAGAGGGCGGGAGAGGUCUGAGGUACUACAGGGGUAGGGGUGAAAUCUUAUAAUCCUUGUAGGACCGCCAGUGGCGAAGGCGUCAGACUGGAACGCGCCUGACGGUGAGGGACGAAAGCCAGGGGGGCGAACCGGAUUAGAUACCCGGGUAGUCCUGGCCGUAAACGAUGCAUACUAGGUGAUGGUACGGCCAUGAGCCGUGUCAGUGCCGUAGGGAAACCGUUAAGUGUGCCGCCUGGGAAGUACGGUCGCAAGGCUAAAACUUAAAGGAAUUGGCGGGGGAGCACCACAAGGGGUGAAGCCUGCGGUUCAAUUGGAUUCAACGCCGGG